GGGGAUUUAGCUCAGUGGUAGAGCGCUUGCCUAGCAAGUGCAAGGCCCUGGGUUCGGUCCCCAGCUCCCCCC
rfam:Rattus norvegicus chromosome 8, whole genome shotgun sequence.